GACAAACGCUGGCGGCGUGCGUAACACAUGCAAGUCGAACGAGCAUGGAGACAUGCGAGUGGCGGACGGGUGAGGAACACGUGGAUGACCGACCCUGGACUGGGGAAUACCCGGACGAAAGUUCGGUUAAUACCGCAUGAACUGGAGACAGCAAAGCGCUUCGGCGCGGUCGAGGACGGGUCUGCGGACGAUUAGCUAGUUGGUGGGGUAACGGCUCACCAAGGCGAUGAUCGUUAGCUGGUCUGAGAGGAUGAUCAGCCACACUGGGAUUGAGAAC
rnacentral:rRNA from 1 species